CACUGGUUAAAUAGCUUUGUCCCGAGACCUCGUUACGGAUAGUUACAUCAUGGUUGGUAAAGGGUGCGGGAGAAAUCCUCGUUCUCCCCGCAGAAAUACUGACAUUCUAUCGGACAUGGUUCUUUCAUAAACUAGGUCUAUAUGUCAUAAAACAAAACGCAGUUAUUUUUGCAGUAAUUCCGGAAUAUACACUACUAUCGUGCGUAUCAUCUGUUAUGGAUACAGAAACAUUGUAAUUUUCUUCUGGCACAAUCUGCCCUCGAGGAAGUUAUCAUGGUUCAUUCCAGCCCACUGGAGCUAAUAGAAGCAGAGAGAUGGAGAUGAUUGUGUCCUGCUAGAGCCUUCUUGCUAAUGUAGCCUCCCUGUGUGUGAGGGUACUACUCCGUCUACUAAGAGGUUCAGACUUUUAUGGCACAGGUGGUAGUGCACUUACCUCACAACCAUAGUGUUGCUGGUUCAAGCUCUGAGUGUCAGAGGUCAGUGAAAGCUGUGUGUGGGGGAGUGUCUGGUCUGGCUCCACUCCAGGCUCGGGUCCAUGACUUCCUCUGCAGCUCUGCAGACCCACAGAGACAGGGGGCAGAGAGCUCAGUGGCGCCACUCUGCCUGCCAGACCUCAAACUGCAGCCUGCAGCAGAAUUGACCAGCACUGGGCUGGGAGAGAGAGGGGAAGUGGAAGGGAGGGAGGGGAGAGCUGAGAGAGAGAGAGAAUAUGUGAGGGGGAGAGAGGGGAGGGCAACGAGAAAGGAGGAAGAGAACGGGAGGACAGACAGAGACAGAGAGAAAGAGGAGUAUUAUCCUCUCCCUCCUCCCCCCUCCGAUGUCCUCGCUGCUGAUGGUCGGCCCAGAACGCUCCACCUCCUGCCUGAUUUCAACCAAUCACUGGCCGAGGCUCGUAAAGCUCGCUACAUCCGUUACCGAGGUCGACCCCCCUGCGAGAGGGAGCUGUCAAUCACUGAGAUAUUCGCCAGGGGCAACACAGGUUCCAUCCACAGAUUAACUCUGUAA
rnacentral:lncRNA from 13 species